rnacentral:rRNA from 1 species
AACGAACGCUGGCGGCAUGCCUAACACAUGCAAGUCGAACGAGACCUUCGGGUCUAGUGGCGCACGGGUGCGUAACGCGUGGGAACCUGCCCUUAGGUUCGGAAUAACUCCCCGACAGGGGUGCUAAUACCGGAUAAUGUCUUCGGACCAAAGAUUUAUCGCCUUUGGAUGGGCCCGCGUUGGAUUAGCUAGUUGGUAGGGUAAAAGCCUACCAAGGCGACGAUCCAUAGCUGGUCUGAGAGGAUGAUCAGCCACACUGGGACUGAGACACGGCCCAGACUCCUACGGGAGGCAGCAGUGGGGAAUAUUGGACAAUGGGCGAAAGCCUGAUCCAGCAAGGCCGCGUGAGUGAUGAAGGCCUUAGGGUUGUAAAGCGCUUUUACCCGGGAUGAUAAUGACAGUACCGGGAGAAUAAGCUCCGGCUAACUCCGUG